CAGUAGCCGCGGUAAAACGAAGGGGGCUAGCGUUGUUCGGAAUUACUGGGCGUAAAGCGCACGUAGGCGGAUAUUUAAGUCAGGGGUGAAAUCCCAGAGCUCAACUCUGGAACUGCCUUUGAUACUGGGUAUCUUGAGUAUGGAAGAGGUGAGUGGAAUUCCGAGUGUAGAGGUGAAAUUCGUAGAUAUUCGGAAGAACACCAGUGGCGAAGGCGGCUCACUGGACGACUGUUGACGCUGAGGUGCGAAAGCGUGGGGAGCAAACAGGAUUAGAGACCCCAGUAGUCCCUGUCUCUUAUAC
rnacentral:rRNA from 1 species